rnacentral:rRNA from 1 species
AAAUGAAUAGACGGGGGCCCGCACAAGCAGUGGAUUAUGUGGUUUAAUUCGAAGCAACGCGAAGAACCUUACCAGGUCUUGACAUCCGGCUAACGAGGCAGAGAUGCGUCAGGUGCCCUUCGGGGAAAGUCGAGACAGGUGGUGCAUGGUUGUCGUCAGCUCGUGUCGUGAGAUGUUGGGUUAAGUCCCGCAACGAGCGCAACCCCUGCCAUUAGUUGCUACGCGAGAGCACUCUAAUGGGACCGCUACCGACAAGGUGGAGGAAGGUGGGGAUGACGUCAAAUCAUCAUGCCCCUUAUGAUCUGGGCUACACACGUAAUACAAUGGCCGCCAACAACGGGAGGCGAAGGCGCGAGCCGGAGCGAACCCCCAAAAGCGGUCUCAGUUCGGAUCGCAGGCUGCAACCCGCCUGCGUGAAGUUGGAAUUGCUAGUAAUCGCGAAUCAGCAUGUCGCGGUGAAUACGUUCCCGGGCCUUGUACACACCGCCCGU